rnacentral:misc_RNA from 1 species
AAGUCGUAACAAGGUUUCCGUAGGUGAACCUGCGGAAGGAUCAUUAAAAGAUAUGGCAUGUCCCUUGUGGAUAUUACCAAUCAACCCAUUCUGAGUACCUUACCUGUUGCUUCCACACAGUGUCUGUGCAUUAGUACUGACAUCCUGAUGAUAGGUGAAAGCCUAUCGGAGGGAGAUGUGUGGAGGGUAUACUUAUAAACUCUUGCAUUACCAUGUAUUCUGUCUGAUAAUGUUUAAUAUAAACUAUUAAAACUUUCAACAACGGAUCUCUUGGUUCUC